GCGCUUCCACAGCGCGGCCGCCUAAACCUUACACACUGUGAUUAGUUUUUUUAUCAUUGCUUUGGCUUGGGGUAACCCGGCCGAAGGUUUUAAACACAAAGAUUUUAUCUUUUUCUUUUAAACAUCAGUCAACGAAGUUUUAAACUAUAAUCUUCAAAACUUUCAACAACGGAUCUCUUGGUUCUCGCAACGAUGAAGAACGCAGCGAAAUGCGAUACGUAAUGUGAAUUGCAGGUUUUCGUGAAUCAUCAAAUCUUUGAACGCACAUUGCGCCCUCUGGUAUUCCGGAGGGCAUGCCUGUUUGAGCGUCAUUUCUCUCUCAAACCCCUCGGGUUUGGUAUUGAGUGAUACUCUGUCCAGGGUUAACUUGAAAUAGUGAAUUGGCAAGAGUGUGCUUCUGCGGCCUCUUGACUGAGAUAAUGUAUUAGGUUCUACCAACUCGUUAUAGCGGUCUAGAAAGUCCAGGCGGCAUAUUGAGCUCGGCCCAACAACCACCAUAAAGUUUGACCUCAAAUCAGGUAGGAUUACCCGC
rnacentral:rRNA from 1 species